CGUAAAAUUCAUUAACAGCUGAAAGUUGAACAACAAUCAGUAACAACUAUAUGUUGUCACUUCAGGAGCCAGAUGAUGCUCUACUCAGAUAACAUGUUUCUGAGUAUGACAACUGCUACAACUACAGUGCCUUAAUACCAAAAACACUAAGGCCAACUUAAUCAUGACAUCCUCUAAUUAAGCUAAAUCCGAACACGCUGAGAACAAUAGGAAAGCAUAAUUUGGUCUUCGAUACUGCCAUUUACACUUAAAAUACCCUCCCUAAUUGGCAAGAACUUCCCAAAUCAAC
rnacentral:lncRNA from 1 species